GUGGGGAAUAUUGGGCAAUGGGCGAAAGCCUGACCCAGCAACGCCGCGUGAAGGAAGAAGGUUUUCGGAUCGUAAACUUCUAUCCUUGGUGAAGAUAAUGACGGUAGCCAAGAAGGAAGCCCCGGCUAACUACGUGCCAGCAGCCGCGGUAAUACGUAGGGGGCAAGCGUUGUCCGGAAUGAUUGGGCGUAAAGGGCGCGUAGGCGGCCCGGUAAGUCUGAAGUAAAAGUCCUGCUUUUAAGGUGGGAAUUGCUUUGGAUACUGUCGGGCUGGAGUGCAGGAGAGGUAAGCGGAAUUCCCGGUGUAGCGGUGAAAUGCGUAGAGAUCGGGAGGAACACCAGUGGCGAAGGCGGCUUACUGGACUGUAACUGACGCUGAGGCGCGAAAGUGUGGGGAGCAAACAGGAUUAGAAACCCUGGUAGUCC
rnacentral:rRNA from 1 species